rnacentral:rRNA from 1 species
AUUGAACGCUGGCGGCAGGCCUAACACAUGCAAGUCGAACGGUAACAGGAAGAAGCUUGCUUCUUUGCUGACGAGUGGCGGACGGGUGAGUAAUGUCUGGGAAACUGCCUGAUGGAGGGGGAUAACUACUGGAAACGGUAGCUAAUACCGCAUAACGUCGCAAGACCAAAGAGGGGGACCUUCGGGCCUCUUGCCAUCGGAUGUGCCCAGAUGGGAUUAGCUAGUAGGUGGGGUAACGGCUCACCUAGGCGACGAUCCCUAGCUGGUCUGAGAGGAUGACCAGCCACACAGGAACUGAGACACGGGCCAGACUCCUACGGGAGGCAGCAGUGGGGAAGAUUGCACAAUGGGCGCAAGCCUGAUGCAGCCAUGCCGCGUGUAUGAAGAAGGCCUUCGGGUUGUAAAGUACUUUCAGCGGGGAGGAAGGGAGUAAAGUUAAUACCUUUGCUCAUUGACGUUACCCGCAGAAGAAGCACCGGCUAACUCCGU